rnacentral:rRNA from 1 species
GCAAGUCGAGCGGUAACAGGGAUAGCUUGCUAUCUGCUGACGAGCGGCGGACGGGUGAGUAAUGCUUGGGAAUAUGCCUUUGAGUGGGGGACAACAGUUGGAAACGACUGCUAAUACCGCAUAAUGUCUACGGACCAAAGGGGGGGAUCUUCGGACCUCUCGCCAUUUGAUUAGCCCAAGUGAGAUUAGCUAGUAGGUGAGGUAAAGGCUCACCUAGGCGACGAUCUUUAGCUGGUUUGAGAGGAUGAUC